rnacentral:rRNA from 1 species
AUUGAACGCUGGCGGCAUGCUUUACACAUGCAAGUCGGACGAGUGGCGAACGGGUGAGUAAAGCAUCGGAACGUACCAAGUAAUGGGGGAUAACUGCCCGAAAGGACAGCUAAUACCGCAUAUUAUCCGAGCGGCCGAUGUCUGAUUAGCGGGUUGGAGGGGUAAAGGCCCACCAAGGAGACGAUCCGUAGCGGGUCUGAGAGGAGGAUCAGCCACACUGGGACGGAGACACGGCCCAUACUCCUACGGGAGGCAGCAGUGGGGAAGUUUGGACAAUGGGCGCAAGCCUGAUCCAGCCAUGCCGCGUGUCUGAAGAAGGCCUUCGGGUUGGAAAGGACUUUUGUCAGGGAAGCGGUACCUGAAGAAGAAGCACCGGCUAACUCCGUGCCAGCCGCCGCGGUAAUAC